UCAUGCUCAGUCUGGGAGUUCUUAGGGCAUAUUCAAUCAAGACAAUUUUACUAACGAAAUGGUUUGUUAAAAUGAAUGUGCACUUCCUGUUUCGUUGAGAAGAGGUUUCGAAAUCGUGUACUGAAGUAUUUGUCCAAAUAUCAUUUCCCCGAAUAGUUCUUGAAAUAAAUAAAAUUUCUUGCUAUGUCAAUACUGCAAACCCACCAAUUAUUUGAAGUUCAAUGAGCCUAUAGAAGUUGUUCUUCCCUUCUUUUCAGAGUUUUGUCUAAAUAAACAAAAUUUGGACCCCUUUAGAUCUGGCUUUUUGUAUUCAAUUCUUACCUCUGAAGCUCAUUCAACCUGCAGGUCUUCCACCCUCUCCACCUUCACCU
rnacentral:misc_RNA from 1 species